CCUACGGGGUGCAGCAGUGAGGAAUAUUGGUCAAUGGACGAGAGUCUGAACCAGCCAAGUAGCGUGAAGGAUGACUGCCCUAUGGGUUGUAAACUUCUUUUAUAUGGGAAUAAAAUGUUCCACGUGUGGGAUUUUGUAUGUACCAUAUGCAUAAGGAUCGGCUAACUCCGUGCCAGCAGCCGCGGUAAUACGGAGGAUCCGAGCGUUAUCCGGAUUUAUUGGGUUUAAAGGGAGCGUAGGUGGCUUGUUAAGUCAGUUGUGAAAGUUUGCGGCUCAACCGUAAAAUUGCAGUUGAAACUGGCAGUCUUGAGUACAGUAGAGGUGGGCGGAAGUCGUGGUGUAGCGGUGAAAUGCUUAGAUAUCACGAAGAACUCCGAUUGCGAAGGCAGUUCACUGGACUGCAACUGACACUGAGGCUCGAAAGUGUGGGUAUCAAACAGGAUUAGAUACCCUGGUAGUC
rnacentral:rRNA from 1 species